AAGAAUCAGAAGAAGAACGAGAAACGUACAGCAGUAAAACCCUAACUGAGCUUCAAAUCCUGCAAAAUAGAACAAAUUAACUGAACUCUUCUUCAAAUCCCGUAAACGAAGGAUGCACUACUUCACGUCUCUUCAUCAUGCUCCCAAAAUUCUAACUAUUUAUUCCAGUUUACAGAAGCUUGAAAUCACAAAUCGUUACUUCCUUCUUCAGUUAAGAAAGAAGUUGGAAUUAUUUUGGGAUUUUCUCUGUAUGUUGCCAAAUCGAAGACAAGCCAGUGAGAAAGUCAGAAGUUUGCUAGAAUACAUUUACAAAUAUAAUUAAGGAUAAGGUGGGUGGACCUUCAACAUUAAGGAAUGAAGAAGGUCUUGAAGUAGAUGACAGAGACAUGGAGAGAAACACGACCACAAAUGGAGAAGAUGAAGGAGAAAAAACUAGUGAAGAUGAAGUGAAUUUAUUGAAAACGGUUUCGGAGGAGCAAUUACUGAAAACUUGGAUAGAAACAGUUGGUGGAACUAAAAAAGGAAAAAUAUAUGGGCUUGGUUCUAGAAAUUGUUUGCUGGCAGAUUCUUUGAAUUCUAAUUGUAUAUCUUCCACUGCUCAGAAUCCUUCAAAUAUUCCUACUCAACAAAUAUUUGAAACACCUGAAUUUCAACAACUUCUUGACCAUGUGUU